GUAGACCCGAAACCAGGUGAUCUACCCGUGGUCAGGUGGAAGAUCAGGUAACACUGAAUGGAGGACCGAACCGACUUACGUUGAAAAGUGAGCGGAUGAACUGAGGGUAGCGGAGAAAUUCCAAUCGAACUUGUAGAUAGCUGGUUCUCUCCGAAAUAGCUGUAGGGCUAGCCUCAAGUGAUGAUUAUUGGGGGUAGAGCACUGUUUGGACGAGGGGCCCCUCUCGGGUUACCGAAUUCAGACAAACUCCGAAUGCCAAUUAAUUUAACUUGGGAGUCAGAACAUGGGUGAUAAGGUCCGUGUUCGAAAGGGAAACAGCCCAGACCACCAGCUAAGGUCCCAAAAUAUAUGUUAAGUGGAAAAGGAUGUGGCGUUGCCCAGACAACUAGGAUGUUGGCUUAGAAGCAGCCAUCAUUUAAAGAGUGCGUAAUAGCUCACUAGUCGAGUGACACUGCGCCGAAAAUGUAACGGGGCUAAACAUAUUACCGAAGCUGUGGAUUGUCCUUUGGACAAUGGUAGGAGAGCGUUCUAAGGGCGUCGAAGCAUGAUCGCAAGGACAUGUGGAGCACUUAGAAGUGAGAAUGCCGGUGUGAGUAG
rnacentral:rRNA from 1 species